rnacentral:rRNA from 1 species
AUUGAACGCUGGCGGCACGCCUAACACAUGCAAGUCGAACGGCAGCACGGUUUGUAGCAAUACAAAUGGGUGGCGAGUGGCGGACGGGUGAGUAAUGCGUAGGAAUCUACCCAAGAGAUGAGGAUAACGUGGGGAAACUCACGCUAAUACUGAAUACGCCCUUUGGGGUAAAGGUUGCUCAAGCAGCCUCUUUUGGAUGAGCCUACGUUUGAUUAGCUAGUUGGUGGUGUAAAGGCCUACCAAAGCGACGAUCAAUAGUUGUUCUGAGAGGAAGCUCAGCCACACUGGGACUGAGACACGGCCCAGACUCCUACGGGAGGCAGCAGUGGGGAAUCUUGGACAAUGGGGGCAACCCUGAUCCAGCGAUGCCGCGUGUGUGAAGAAGGCCUUAGGGUUGUAAAGCACUUUAAUGAGGGAGGAGUAGUGUUCGUUGAAUAGGCGGAUCUGAGGACGUUACCUCAAGAAUAAGCACCGGCUAACUCUGUGCCAGCAGCCGCGGUAA